AUGGUUUUAUACUUUGAGCGACAUGCAUUGGCAGUAGAAGAAUCAGGAAAUCAGUCCAGUGAAGUUUAUUACUGUUUAUUCGUGCAGCUCUUAGUUGGCUACUCUCGUUCUGCAGCACUUGAUCUGCAGCUCGCAACACUCGCUCUGCAUUCCACAAUCCAUAAUGCACACAGUCCUUGCCUCUCGUCCUCUCCUUUGCUCAUCAGUUGA